rnacentral:rRNA from 1 species
UGGGGAAUAUUGCGCAAUGGGGGGAACCCUGACGCAGCCAUGCCGCGUGAAUGAAGAAGGCCUUAGGGUUGUAAAGUUCUUUCGGUAUUGAGGAAGGUUGAUGUGUUAAUAGCACAUCAAAUUGACGUUAAAUACAGAAGAAGCACCGGCUAACUCCGUGCCAGCAGCCGCGGUAAUACGGAGGGUGCGAGCGUUAAUCGGAAUAACUGGGCGUAAAGGGCACGCAGGCGGUUAUUUAAGUGAGGUGUGAAAGCCCCGGGCUUAACCUGGGAAUUGCAUUUCAGACUGGGUAACUAGAGUACUUUAGGGAGGGGUAGAAUUCCACGUGUAGCGGUGAAAUGCGUAGAGAUGUGGAGGAAUACCGAAGGCGAAGCNNGCCCCUUGGGAAUGUACUGACGCUCAUGUGCGAAAGCGUGGGGAGCAAACAGGAUUAGAUACCCUGGUAGUCCACGCUGUAAACGCUGUCGAUUUGGGGGUUGNNUUUAACUCUGGCGCCCGUAGCUAACGUGAUAAAUCGACCGCCUGGGGAGUACGGCCGCAAGNUUA